rnacentral:rRNA from 1 species
AGUGGGGAAUAUUGCACAAUGGGGGAAACCCUGAUGCAGCGACGCCGCGUGAGUGAAGAAGUAUUUCGGUACGUAAAGCUCUAUCAGCAAGGAAGAAAAUGACGGUACUUGACUAAGAAGCCCCGGCUAACUACGUGCCAGCAGCCGCGGUAAUACGUAGGGGGCAAGCGUUAUCCGGAUUUACUGGGUGUAAAGGGAGCGUAGACGGUAUGGUAAGUCAGAUGUGAAAGCCCGGGGCUCAACCCCGGGACUGCAUUUGAAACUAUCAGACUAGAGUGCAGGAGAGGUAAGUGGAAUUCCUAGUGUAGCGGUGAAAUGCGUAGAUAUUAGGAGGAACACCAGUGGCGAAGGCGGCUUACUGGACUGUAACUGACGUUGAGGCUCGAAAGCGUGGGGAGCAAA